UCUCUCUCUCCAAGACACCAUUCUUCAUUUUCUGGCAGGUCAUUUGCUCUACUGUGCUGCUGAUCGUUCCGGUCUCUAUACCUGCAUGGCUGAAGUGGAGGCAAGAGGCUGCUCUCUGCAAUGGCAGGAUUCAGAUCAGGCACUUCUCCUAAGUAAGAAAAAAUAACGCCUGUGACAUCUGACAUGAUGUUAUUCAAGAGGAAGACACCUGCACUGGCUCUCUGCAACCAGAGAGAAAACAGCAAAGAGGAAGCCGGACUUUCUGAUGAUAAUGAUUUCCAAGCCCUAGCUCAGUUGACCUACUGGCCUGGUAGCUGGGGGGAAGCGGUAGAUGUGAUAGAUCUUUGUUCUAGCAUGGCUUCUGACCUGUCCCACAUGACAUUCUUGUAAGAAAAUGAAGGAGAUGUGAUGGACUAGUUGACUAGUCACUUCCUCCC